ensembl:lncRNA
AAAGGAGGGAGAGGAGGAGAGUGAGAGAGGAGAUUGGGGGGGACAGAGAUAGGGUAGUGAAAAUGAUGGCGACCGAUUCAGUGGAGAUAAGAAACCAAACGAGCCCCUGUCCCAUCCCUGACAACAGUCUCAGCACUCUGUCCAUCAAAAUAACGCGGAAAAACCAGGACAGACACUGGAAGUUGCGGUUUAUUUAUCUGCAGUGCUCCACAUCUAUGUGAUCCCAGUCUUCACCUGGAGCCUGACUCUUGCUAUUUUACUGGCCCACACAGUUAUUCAGCCAAUCACUUCAGUGCUCACCCUCCUGAAAGGAAUCCUCCUCAUUGUCACGGUAACAGUGAUUCUCUGCAUUUUGCUGUUUUGAUACAUUUUGGCAUAAUUUUCAAGCAUUUGUAAUAAUGAUACAGG